rnacentral:rRNA from 1 species
GCCGGCGAGUGGCGAACGGGUGAGUAUAAUAUUGGAACGUACCGAGUAAUGGGGGAUAACUAUCCGAAAGGAUGGCUAAUACCGCAUACGUCCUGAGGGAGAAAGCGGGGGACAGGCAACUGCCUCGUGUUAUUUGAGCGGCCAAUAUCGGAUUAGCUAGUUGGUGGGGUAAAGGCUUACCAAGGCGACGAUCCGUAGCGGGUCUGAGAGGAUGAUCCGCCACACUGGGACUGAGACACGGCCCAGACUCC